UAGGGAAUCUUCCGCAAUGGGCGAAAGCCUGACGGAGCCACGCCGCGUGAGUGAUGAAGGUCUUCGGAUCGUAAAACUCUGUUAUUAGGGAAGAACAAAUGUGUAAGUAACUAUGCACGUCUUGACGGUACCUAAUCAGAAAGCCACGGCUAACUACGUGCCAGCAGCCGCGGUAAUACGUAGGUGGCAAGCGUUAUCCGGAAUUAUUGGGGGUAAAGCGCGCGAAGGCGGUUUUUUAAGUCUGAUGUGAAAGCCCACGGCUCAACAGUGGGGGAUCAUUGGAAACAGGGAUACUUGAGUGCAGAAGAGGAAAGUGGAAUUCCAUGUGUGGCGGUGAAAUGCGCAGAGAUAUGGAGGAACACCAGUGGCGAAGGCGACUUUCUGGUCUGUAACUGACGAUGAUGGGCGAAAGCGUGGGGAUCAAACAGG
rnacentral:rRNA from 1 species